AUUGAACGCUGGCGGCAUGCCUUACACAUGCAAGUCGAACGGCAGCACGGGUGCUUGCACCUGGUGGCGAGUGGCGAACGGGUGAGUAAUACAUCGGAACAUGUCCUGUAGUGGGGGAUAGCCCGGCGAAAGCCGGAUUAAUACCGCAUACGAUCCACGGAUGAAAGCGGGGGACCUUCGGGCCUCGCGCUAUAGGGUUGGCCGAUGGCUGAUUAGCUAGUUGGUGGGGUAAAGGCCUACCAAGGCGACGAUCAGUAGCUGGUCUGAGAGGACGACCAGCCACACUGGGACUGAGACACGGCCCAGACUCCUACGGGAGGCAGCAGUGGGGAAUUUUGGGCAAUGGGCGAAAGCCUUAUCCAGCAAUGCCGCGUGUGUGAAGAAGGCCUUCGGGGUGGAAAGCACUUUUGUCCGGAAAGAAAUCCUUGACUCUAAUACAGUCGGGGGAUGACGGUACCGGAAGAAUAAGCACCGGCUAACUACGUG
rnacentral:rRNA from 1 species